GACGAACGCUGGCGGCGUGCCUAAUACAUGCCAGUUGAGCGCUGAAGGUUGGUACUUGUACCGACUGGAUGAGCAGCGAACGGGUGAGUAACGCGUGGGGAAUCUGCCUUUGAGCGGGGGACAACAUUUGGAAACGAAUGCUAAUACCGCAUAAAAACUUUAAACACAAGUUUUAAGUUUGAAAGAUGCAAUUGCAUCACUCAAAGAUGAUCCCGCGUUGUAUUAGCUAGUUGGUGAGGUAAAGGCUCACCAAGGCGAUGAUACAUAGCCGACCUGAGAGGGUGAUCGGCCACAUUGGGACUGAGACACGGCCCAAACUCCUACGGGAGGCAGCAGUAGGGAAUCUUCGGCAAUGGACGAAAGUCUGACCGAGCAACGCCGCGUGAGUGAAGAAGGUUUUCGGAUCGUAAAACACUGUUGGUAGAGAAGAACGUUGGUGAGAGUGGAAAGCUCAUCAAGUGACGGUAACUACCCAGAAAGGGACGGCUAACUACGUG
rnacentral:rRNA from 1 species